rnacentral:rRNA from 1 species
UACGUAGGGGGCAAGCGUUGUCCGGAAUCAUUGGGCGUAAAGCGCGUGUAGGCGGCUCGAUAAGUCCGCUGUGAAAGUCCAGGGCUCAACCCUGGGAUGCCGGUGGAUACUGUCGAGCUCGAGUCCGGAAGAGGCGAGUGGAAUUCCUGGUGUAGCGGUGAAAUGCGCAGAUAUCAGGAGGAACACCAAUGGCGAAGGCAGCUCGCUGGGACGUGACUGACGCUGAGACGCGAAAGCGUGGGGAGCAAACAGG